AUUGAACGCUGGCGGCAGGCCUAACACAUGCCAGUCGAGCGGAUGAAGGGAGCUUUCUCCUGGAUUCAGCGGCGCACGGGUGAGUAAUGCCUAGGAAUCUGCCUCGUAGUGGGGGAUAACGUCCGGAAACGGGCGCUAAUACCGCAUACGUCCUGCGGGAGAAAGUGGGUGAUCUUCGGACCUCUCGCUCUCAUAUGAGCCUAGGUGGGAUUAGCUAGUUGGUGGGGUAAAGGCCUACCAAGCCGACGAUCCGUAACUGGUCUGAGAGGAUGAUCAGUCACACUGGAAGUGAGACACGGUCAAGACUACUACGGGAGGCAGCAGUGGGGAAUAUUGGACAAUAGGGGAAAGCCUGAUACAGCGAUGCCGAGUGUGUGAAGAAGGUGUUGGGAUUGGAAAGCAGUUUAAGUUGGGAGGAAGGGCAGUAAGUUAAUACCUUGCUGUUUUGACGUUACCAACAGAAUAAGCACCGGCUAACUUCGUG
rnacentral:rRNA from 1 species